rnacentral:rRNA from 1 species
AUUGAACGCUGGCGGCAGGCUUAACACAUGCAAGUCGAGCGGGGGAAGGUAGCUUGCUACCGGACCUAGCGGCGGACGGGUGAGUAAUGCUUAGGAAUCUGCCUAUUAGUGGGGGACAACAUCUCGAAAGGGAUGUUAAUACCGCAUACGUCCUACGGGAGAAAGCAGGGGAUCUUCGGACCUUGCGCUAAUAGAUGAGCCUAAGUCGGAUUAGCUAGUUGGUGGGGUAAAGGCCUACCAAGGCGACGAUCUGUAGCGGGUCUGAGAGGACGAUCCGCCACACUGGGACCGAGACACGGCCCAGACUCCUACGGGAGGCAGCAGUGGGGAAUAUUGGACAAUGGGGGGAACCCUGAUCCAGCCAUGCCGCGUGUGUGAAGAAGGCCUUAUGGUUGUAAAGCACUUUAAGCGAGGAGGAGGCUACUUUAGUUAAUACCUAGAGAUAGUGGGCGUUACUCGCAGAAUAAGCACCGGCUAACUCUGUGCCAGCCGCCGCAGUAA